UUCCUCUGGUGUGACCCACCUCAUGUUGGCUCUUCGUGUUGCAGAGCUGCUCCUCCUUACUGUAAUGACCGCUCUGCUCAUCAGAACGUGGCGCAGAACAAGAGUGACGAUGAAAACACCUGCGGGCAACGCUGUGCAUAACGAUAAUGAUGAUGGCGGUUCAGUGAACUAUGACGAUGUCGACGCUCCCUCUUCCUCUGUCGGACUCCACUGAUCAACAGCCUCCACACUGACGUCGACUAACCAGAGAAACAAGACGACACAGCAGCUGAAUGUCAUCACAUUGCAAUCAUUUUCAGAGGAGUCACUGAAGAAUUUAUAUUAGAAGUUAAAAGAUGAGUCAAC